UUCUUAUAGAAAGAAUUAUAAGUAAGGCCUGCUCAAUGAAUGGUAAAUAGCUGCAGGAGGCUGUACUAAGGUAGCAUAAUCAAUAGUUUUUUAAUUGAGAACUUGAAUGAAAGGUUAAAUAAGAUAAAUAAAGUAUUGUAAAAAUAAAUUGAAAUUUGGUUUUUUAUAAAAAUAUAAAAAUAUUAUUUAGGGACGAGAAGACCCUAUAAAGCUUUAAAAAUUUAUAAUAAUUUUAGUUUAUAAAUUUUUUUUGUUGGGGAAAUAGAAUAAGAAAAAAAUUUUAUUUUUGAGCCAAAAUUUUUGAUUAAAUGAAAAAGUUACUUUAGGGAUAACAGCAUAAUAACAUAAUUGAAGUUCUUAUUUAAUUUUGUGAUUGUGACCUCGAUGUUGGAUUAAUAUAUCUUUUAGGAGAAGAAACUUAAGAAGAUAGUCUGNUCGACUAUAAAAAUAUUACA
rnacentral:rRNA from 1 species